ensembl:miRNA MIR22 microRNA 22
GCUCCUGGCUGCCCGGCAGCAGUUCUUCAGUGGCAAGCUUUAUGUCCUUCUCUAGUAGCUAAAGCUGCCAGUUGAAGAACUGUUGAAUGUAGCCACG